rnacentral:tRNA from 1 species
AUUUAUAUAGUUUAAAAAAAACAUUAUAUUUUCAUUAUAAAGAUAAUUUAAUUUAAAUUUAUAAAUU